GAUGAAGAACGCAGCGAAAUGCGAUACUUGGUGUGAAUUGCAGAAUCCCGUGAACCAUCGAGUCUUUGAACGCAAGUUGCGCCUCAAGCCAUUAGGUUGAGGGCACGUCUGCCUGGGCGUCACAUAUCGUUGCCUGAUGCCAGUUUCCUCGUGAUGGGUGACUGUGCAGGGCGAAUGAUGGCUUCCCGUGAGCAUUGUUGCCUCAUGGUUGGUUGAAAAUUGAGUCCUUGGUAGGGAGCGCCGUGAUAGAUGGUGGUUGAGUGACGAACGAGAUCCAAUCAUGUGAGACCCCUACCGAAUUUGGCCUUCAUGACCCACAUGCGUCUUUGGAACGCUCAUGACGAGACCUCAGGUCAGGCGGGGCUACCCGCUGAGUUUAAGCAUAUCAAUAAGCGGAGGA
rnacentral:misc_RNA from 1 species